AGAUCCUUGAAUGUCAUUGCCAGGAUUCCAGAGAUGACACUGUCAAGAAUGGCUAUUCCUCUCCCCUUCACUGUUCCCAUCAAUCCAGAUGGAUCUCUUUCCAUUCAUAUUGAUGAGGACAUUCUCUCCUGGAUCCAGAAACAUAUCAAGGAAGAAUAACACAUAAAAAUAUAAUUUUACAUUUUUCAGAAGAAAAUGUUGAGCUCUGUUAAUGUAUAUUUGAUUGUUUCUUGACAGUUUAAUUGAAAGCCUUACCACUGUUGUCAAGUACAGCAUGUAAUGUAAUGCAGUCUAAUGCUAAUAAAUACCUUGCAAGUGAAA